rnacentral:rRNA from 1 species
UGGGGAAUUUUGGACAAUGGGCGAAAGCCUGAUCCAGCAAUGCCGCGUGUGUGAAGAAGGCCUUCGGGUUGUAAAGCACUUUUGUCCGGAAAGAAAUCCUUGGCUCUAAUACAGUCGGGGGAUGACGGUACCGGAAGAAUAAGCACCGGCUAACUACGUGCCAGCAGCCGCGGUAAUACGUAGGGUGCAAGCGUUAAUCGGAAUUACUGGGCGUAAAGCGUGCGCAGGCGGUUUGCUAAGACCGAUGUGAAAUCCCCGGGCUCAACCUGGGAACUGCAUUGGUGACUGGUAGGCUAGAGUAUGGCAGAGGGGGGUAGAAUUCCACGUGUAGCAGUGAAAUGCGUAGAGAUGUGGAGGAAUACCGAUGGCGAAGGCAGCCCCCUGGGCCAAUACUGACGCUCAUGCACGAAAGCGUGGGGAGCAAACAGGAUUAGAUACCCUGGUAGUCCACGCCCUAAACGAUGUCAACUAGUUGUUGGGGAUUCAUUUCCUUAGUAACGUAGCUAACGCGUGAAGUUGACCGCCUGGGGAGUACGGUCGCAAGAUUAAAACUCAAAGGAAUUGACGGGGU